rnacentral:rRNA from 1 species
GGGGUUUACCGAAUUCGCCCUUGGAGGAAGUAGGGGAUCGAAAGACCUUAUGCUUUUGGAGUGGCCGAUGUCUGAUUAGCUAGUUGGUGAGGUAAAGGCUUACCAAGGCAACGAUCAGUAGUUGGUCUGAGAGGAUGACCAACCACACUGGGACUGAGACACGGCCCAGACUCCUACGGGAGGCAGCAGUGGGGAAUUUUGGACAAUGGGGGAAACCCUGAUCCAGCAAUGCCGCGUGAGUGAAGAAGGCCUUCGGGUUGUAAAGCUCUUUCAGUUGAGAAGAAAAGAUUCUGACUAAUAAUCAUAAUUAAUGACGGUAUCAACAGAAGAAGCACCGGCUAACUACGUGCCAGCAGCCGCGGUAAUACGUAGGGUGCGAGCGUUAAUCGGAAUUACUGGGCGUAAAGGGUGCGCAGGCGGUUAUGUAAGUCAGAUGUGAAAUCCCCGGGCUUAACCUGGGAAUUGCGUUUGAAACUACAAAGCUAG